rnacentral:lncRNA from 1 species
CGGAACUAAAAACAAACACUUCGACUUUUACAAAAUCUAGACUCUACAGAAAUGGCAAAAAGUCUAAACAAUUGAGACUAUGAUUACGACAUCCCUUUUCAUAGUUCUGAAAUUGUUUAGACACACUUGUGAGCUAUCUAAGAGAGGUGUAUGAUUUUGAUAAAGUAUUAUCAAGGCAAUCUAGUAUCAGAAAUCUGAACUUUGGUAAGAAAGUCAAUAAAGUAUUGAUUUCUAGAAGUCCAGUUGAUUUCUGGGUACAUGUCAAAGCUAGUGGGAGCAUAAGUGUUAUGCUAUUAAUCAUCAUGUUAGUGGGAGCAUGAUAAUUAUGAUAAAGGUUGCAAGUUAGCAAUGUUAAUUCUAGAAAACAAAAGGUCUCAAUUGGGAAAAAGUUGUUUUGCUAUAAUUAAGGGAGAGGAAAUUAUACUUCAUCUCAACUCUAAAAGCUUAGAUUGAGGUCUUAAUCGUAUUUAGUCAAGAAUAUAUAUGAAUUUCAUGUUGGAAUGGCUCAACAUAAGUAAAUUCUAUAUAUGGGUUAUACUUCAUCUCAAAUCUAAAAGCUUAGAUAGAGGUCUUAAUCGUAUUUAGUCAAGAAUAUAUAUGAAUUUCAUGUUGGAAUGGCUCAACAUAAGGAAAUUCUAUAUAUGGGUUCAUUAUUUGCGUUCUAAAAUUUGAUUAUGAUUACGGCAUCCCUUUUCAUAAUCUGAAUUAUGAGAACUUGGCAAAUAGAAAUGGAAAUAUUAUAGCAAAAGACUGGUUUAGUCUUUAUGUGAGACAUCAUGAAUCGUGUCCCAUAUGCUUCGGAUAUAGGAUCGAUUACAUGUGCUAUAUUCAUCCUUUCUAAAAUUUUCCAAAUGCCUAGGGCAUUAAGAAGGGAAA